UACACUAAAUGGGUAAUAAUUGUACAAUAAUUAUACGACUUCUAAAAAAAUGACGAAAUUUUAUUUUAAAAAGACGUUUUAGGAUAAGGACGGGUGCAGCUACUCUUAUAGAUAAUUUAAUGUAUACUUGUAAGCAAAGAUAAACCAUUGCCUACGAAAAAACUAUUCUGAGGAGAGUUAAGUUGAUAGUUAUGCAUUGUUACAUAUACAAUAAUUAAAUAGGUAUUAUGUAUAUU